rnacentral:rRNA from 1 species
AGGUUGUCCCGCGGAGACGUUGUCCCACCCCAAGUCCAGCAAUGAGUAUGGUUAUCGUGACUUGGCCCACAGAGGGUGAAAGGCCCGUGGGGGUGGGAUUCAGGCAUGUCAAUGUCUCCCUGAGGCGACCUUGGAGUCGGGUUGUUUGAGAUUGCAGCCCAAAGUGGGUGGUAGACUCCAUCCAAGGCUAAAUACUUACACGAGUCCGAUAGCGAACAAGUACCGUGAGGGAAAGUUGAAAAGUACUUUGAAGAGAGAGUAAACAGUGCGUGAAACCGCUCAGAGGUAAACGGGUGGAGUUGAACUGCAAAUUCUGAGAAUUUAGCUGGUGAGUGUGGUUUGGGCUUGGACAAAUUGAUCGGCUAUCUGGGUCCACUCAACUGUGGGUCCUUGCUCUCGGGCAGGGAUGUGUGCUGCACUGAAAUGUGUUGCGCGCCCGGACUGUGACUCGGAUCGACUUGCCAGUGCACUUUCUCGGAAUGUUCACCACGACUGGCGCUGCCGCCUGUCUGAUAUGGUUAAACCGGUCCGGUAUUGCUUACGUGGCUUUGCUUGGCUGGGACGGCAGGUAACUCGUUGGCUUGUAGGUUGGCUUCGGCUAGCUUGCGUCCGGCUUUCGAGCGUUACAGCUGACCGUAUUGGUACUGUGUGGUGCGUCAGAGAUGGCGGCUUGUUGUGUGUGUUCGUGCCUGUUCUGCUGAUGGGAUCGGGUUUGGUCGCUAUGUUGCCUGUCUCUGGCAGGCCUGGUGAUGGCUCGGUUUCUCUUGGUGGACGGUUGCGUGCAUAUCACUUUACAGGGCCG